GAUGAACGCUGGCGGCAUGCUUUACACAUGCAAGUCGAACGGCAGCACGGGGGCAACCCUGGUGGCGAGUGGCGAACGGGUGAGUAACACAUCGGAACGUGCCCAGUUGUGGGGGAUAACCUAUCGAAAGGUAGGCUAAUACCGCAUGAGCUCGGCAAGAGGAAAGCGGGGGACUCAGCGAUGGGCCUCGCGCGACUGGAGCGGCCGAUGUCCGAUUAGCUAGUUGGGGGGUAAAGGCUUACCAAGGCGACGAUCGGUAGCUGGUCUGAGAGGAUGAUCAGCCACACUGGGACUGAGACACGGCCCAGACUCCUACGGGAGGCAGCAGUAGGGAAUCUUGGACAAUGGGCGCAAGCCUGAUCCAGCCAUGCCGCGUGAGUGAAGAAGGCCU
rnacentral:rRNA from 1 species